GUGGUGUAAACUUAAACCCCUAUGUGUGCAGUCAGGCCUUGGAGCAGAAGCAAGAUGUAGACGUUGAAUAAGGUGAGAACAUGUAGGAACUUCCGUACAAUCCAAGGAGUUGUCUUGUGAACCAGAAUAUGCUUGAAUAAGAGGGAUAAGUCAAGGACAGCCUCAAAGAUGCAAAUUUGGCAAGGUUAUACACACGCAGGUGUGGUUUCCUUAUCAGUUUGGUUUUGUCGUGAAACAAUCUUUGAAGCCUUGCAAAGGUGGAAUGGAAGAGCUCCCUCUGAUGGCCUACUCCUGGGCUUCUGUAUUGUCUUGAUGGGCUUGGCUUGUGUCCCUAUUGUGGCUCUCCACUUCUCUCAUGUCUUGGAAGAAGAUCCAGGUUGCUAUUCAAGGGCAUCUAACUCUGUUUUUGAGCCUGUGGUAGAUGUACAAAUGAAUCUAUGUGGACUCAUGGCUGACAAAAUGGGGGACAUGCUGCCCCGUGUGCAAGCAUGAUAUGAGAACAAAAUCUGUGAAUCCUGAGAUCAAGAGAAGGACCUGGUUGGACGAUUCAUGAAUGUAUUUAUGAAUGUCAAGAUAUCAAGUGGGAGAGGAGAGGCAACAACCAAUACACCCAAGCGGAUCAAGUGCGAAAUGAGUGGGGGAAGUUUGUUGUCAACACGUGCAUAAGCCAUGAAGUAGCGCGCUUGUUGCUGGUACAUUUUUGCUAAAGAAAGCAUCUUUUUUGUGCUUCUCUGCUGGUAGAUUGUCAUGCACCAUGUGUGGCAUGUUUUGGAACAAUAGAUAUAUAUGUAUCAACUUUUUGAUGUCCCAAGUAGAUGGGCA